rnacentral:rRNA from 1 species
CCUACGGGAGGCAGCAGUGGGGAAUCUUGUGCAAUGGACGAAAGUCUGACACAGCCACGCCGCGUGCGGGAAGAAGGCCUUCGGGUUGUAAACCGCUUUCAGCAGGAACGAAAAUGACGGUACCUGCAGAAGAAGAUGCGGCCAACUACGUGCCAGCAGCCGCGGUGAUACGUAGGCAUCAAGCGUUGUCCGGAUUUAUUGGGCGUAAAGAGCUCGUAGGCGGUUCAGCAAGUCGGGUGUGAAAACUCUGGGCUUAACCCAGAGCCUGCACUCGAAACUGCUGUGACUAGAGUUCGGUAGGGGAGCAGGGAAUUCCUAGUGUAGCGGUGAAAUGCGCAGAUAUUAGGAGGAACACCAAUGGCGAAGGCACUGCUCUGGGCCGAUACUGACGCUGAGGAGCGAGAGCGUGGGUAGCAAACAGGAUUAGAUACCCUGGUAGUCCACGCCGUAAACGAUGGGCACUAGGUGUGGGUCUCUAACCAACGAGAUCUGCGCGUCGCUAACGCAUAAGUGCCCGCUGGGAGUCGGUCGCAGACUUAAACUCAAAGUUAGUAGUUGCGGNGNGAGAGCGACGACGACGACGACGGAGGAGGAG